GACAAGGACCCCAUCUUUAGCAGAUGGAGAGGCUUGGGAAGGAAGCUGCACACCCACAGUCACUUACAGACUCACUGUUAAGACUGUGUUCAUGGAAGACAAUCUUACUCAGCCGCGAGUGAUCACCAAAGAAGGAGUUCUAGUUUCACUGUUGGGAGGCAGUAUGCCGCUGAAUAUCAGUUACUGGGAAUCACAAGGGGGGAGAAUGCAGUUUCAUUCAGGUAAGGCUAGCCUAUUUCCCAUAGGCAUCUCAUUGGCCACUGUGGGAACAGGAUCCUGGACCCAACAGGCUUGCGGCCUGAUACAGUAGGGCUCUUUGUUGUUAAAUGCAGAUUAUAUCUUUAAGGGAGUGCGGCGUUUGCCCAUUCAUUUAGGAAAUGUUUGAACAGGUGGGAAAGAUAGGGUUAAAAAUAUAGACCAAUAGGAAAGCCGGAGGCGGAGCCUACCUAUGUAUAAAAGGGCUUAGUCCAAGGUUUGAGUUAGUUGUUGUUGUUGGGAGCUGUUGGUGGGUAGUUGGUUGGUUUUAGUGGGUUGGCUGGUUGGGAAAGGCAGUUGGAGAAGCAGUUGGUAGGCAGUUGGUAAUAGAGAGACAGUUAGGGCAGUGGGUUCUUGAGUGAGGGGAGGUAGAAGAGAUGAGAGAGGAAAAUAAGACUAAGAAAGUAAAGAGUAACAACGUUUGCAAUGCCGUAAAAGUUUGUUUGUGACUGAAAUAAAACACACUCUUCUCUAUUAAUUGAGAACCUGACUGAGGCUGAAGUGAUUUUACUGGGGAGGACCUGGUUGGUGGCAGCGGAUUAGUGGUGUACGGGUCAAUAGUCCGUGAGACGACCGGGGGCUCCGUACGAACGCCACAGGGAGGAAUAAACAACUACCGCUCACAUUAUCCUUAAUCAUUAGCCAUUACUGGGUGGGGCUGAUGGUAGUUGAAGUCCAGAUGAUUCUGAGUCAAUGCAAGUUAUGCAUUCUUAACAUGAAAAUGAGAAAGGAGCCAUGGAAAGUCAUUUGCCAGGUGGGGUGAUCAGGUAUGAAAUACUAUAACCCUUGAGGUCUAUGAAAAUGCGGCAACAUAUACAAGCCACAUUGUUUUGUUAUUUCAACACAUCAACAAGAUGCAACAGGUGCAAUGUAUGACUUGCUCGGCAACAACAAUAUUGGUUUUCUAGUAACUGGAAUUUGCAAUAUUGCUGCAGCUAGCAUCCUUGCUUUCAUUCCAUGGCUGCAAAGAGAAA